UUCAUGACUGAGAGCUGCUGGCCAGCAACUUCACCCACAGCAACCAUGACUUUCUUCUCCAUCUUCAUCUGGACUCUCACUCUCUGGACUGGAGAGUCUUUUGGGGAAAUCAUAAUGACUCAGUCUCCAAAUUCUCAGCUUGUGACUCCAGGACAGACUGUUACCAUCAGCUGCAGAUCCAGUCAGUACAUCAGCAGCGCUCUCGCCUGGUAUCUUCAGAAAUCUGGAGAAGCUCCUAAACUGCUGAUCAGAUCUGCUUCUUCUCGUCAGUCUGGUGUUUCUGAUCGUUUUACUGGGAGUGGAUCUGGUACAGAGUUUACUCUACAGAUUUCUGGAAUUCAGGCUGGAGAUGCAGGAGAUUAUUACUGUCAGCAGUAUUACAGCUAUCCACUCACACAGUGUUAGAGCGUCGUACAAAAA